GACACAAUAGCCAACUGUUGUGAUGUCACAGGACUCAACUUUUGUCAUUUUAGGUGGGGGUGCUGGGGUGGAGAAUGUGACAGAGGACAAGAAUACAGUUAUAGAACUGCAAUUCGUUUUUUCAUGCUAAUUUCCCUGGUAACGAAGGGCAGUGACUCAGAAAAGGAAAGGCAGCCUCUGGCAGCAAGGCUGUGUGUAGAUUCGUCUAUACCAAGGGAAGGAUGGUGGGGAGGCAGGGAAGAGACAAAAGAAAAGAAUUUCAAAUUCCAGGAUUGGCCAAAUAUGAAGAUACUCUCAGUCUGGCCAAGUCCAGGCAGGACCUUCUCUUUCCCUCACCCAUCGCCUGAGCCCAGAAAUAUGUUCCAGAGGACAAGGACUAUGUUGUUCAUCACAGUAUUCCAGAACUUAAAAGGAACUGGCACAUAAUAUUCGUCAAAAAAAUGAACAAACGGGGCAAUGACAAUGGUCUUGUGAAGCUGCUGCUAUUUACAGGGACUCACUCAUUCCGCAAGUAUUUUUUGCAUCCCCUACCACACUCCACUCAGUUGCUGGGAAUACCACAGUAAAGGCAGAUAAGGAAGCUUGGGGAAUGUGCCUCCUGCCCUCUUCUGGACCUGCCAGCAUGCUCACCAAGCACACUAAAGCCACCCACGUCACAGCUGACUCAUGCCAUUGCUCUCUGUAAUGAGAAAAGCUGUUUAUCCCUCUUCUCAUUUCUGCCCCGCUCUGAGCCCUGAGUUUUAGUGCCAGUGCUUUUACACAAAUCCAGCUUUACAUCUUCAGUGAAAUAUAAUUUCAUAGGAAUGUAACUCUGGAAUGAUCUCAUUGAAAAAGCACAUCCAGCAAAGGCCAUGAACAGACUUUAGGCCAGCCCAUUCACACCCAGAGCCAAGAAGAUUGCAGACCCCUUUCCCUUAAAUGGAGAAUGUGCCUGGGACCCAAAGCAAAGCACACCAGCUACCUAAGGAUAUUCUCCUGCCUACAGCCAGCCAGCCUGCCUGCCUGCUUGCAGACCACGGCCAGGGCCCACAGCAGCGACCACCAUGAGCCACUAUGGCACCAUACAAGGACAGACUCAAGAGGGCAUCCAAGCAAACAGGCCUCGCCGCAGAGACGUUGCCUCUGGCCCUCGGGAGGGCUCUGGCUCCAUGCCAUCAAACAUUAACUGAAAAUAUUAAUACUCCCCUGUCAUAGCCCCAUCGGAGACAGAAGAGUAUCCAGAACUCCAGCUGCUAAAGAUCCUCCACACACCUACCUGCCUUCCUAACUCUCUGAAACCCAAUUACCAUCUGACCCUAUUGAGAGAGAGUCAGAAAGUGGGGCAUUUGACUCUGAAACUAGAUGUCAAAGCCAGGCCCAGCCCAGUCCAGCAGAGCUGAGGCAGAGCAGAACUGGGGAAGAAAUAAUACAGUCUGAUGGACGCUCAAAUAAUCCUGCUGAAAAAAAAUCACCAAGUUGGAAUCUCUGGAAAAAAAGUCCUCGUUCCAAAUCUGUUCCCCACCCCCAAUGAAUUCUCAUAAAAUGGACCAGAAAAGGAGAAAAAAAAAAAAAACUUAAUGGCUUGCAGGAUCUAUGGGAACUCUCUGCACUAUCUUUGCAACUGUUCUGUAAAUCUGAAACUAUUCUAAAAUGUAACAUUUAUGAAAAAUAAUGGCUUAUCAUGGUUUCCUCUGUAAGAAACAAUGGGAAAAGCUUGAAAUUUGGGUAUGAAACUCGGCCUCUACCAGCUAUGAAGCUUUGGAUGCGUUGCCUACCCUUUCUAAGCUUCAGUUUCCUCAUCUGUAAAAUGGAGACAACAGUUCCAACCAUGAAGUGCUAUUGUGCAGAUUAAGUAAGAUAGAGCAUGCAAAGGACUUACCACUGCUAAAAGUGCUUUCUUGUCUGGGCAGCAGCAGUUUCUUCGCUCAGUCAGCCUUCACGAUGGGUUCUUGACAACUGCAGCUGGGGACCCUACCUCUACCCUUCAGCCCUACCUGUCUUUAUGACUAGCAGCCUGUUCCAGAAACAGCAGGACACUUUAAUCCCAAAGCACAGUAAUCACCUGAAGGGCUGAAGGCUGCCUGACAGCAAGUUCUGACUAGUGAAAGCACAUCUUUGUUGACAGAAACAUGUUCUCCUUCCUGCUUUCCUUAGAAUUCAAUGUCACUGCCAUUAGCUGAAUGACUUUCCUAAGGGUUACAGGGAUCCAUCAGAAGGAAUGCCAGAAGCUGACAGAGUUGGGCUUCUGACAGAGAGGAAAUCUCAAAAUUGUCACAGAAGAUUCUUCCCCUUCAGUAGCACCACUACCAUCCACCAUCUCAUCACCACCACCCCAACUCCUGGCUGUGCCCUGCUCCCCAUCCUGGCCCCACAUGAAGCUGGGCUGAUAAACUACAAAUCCACAAGUCAAGGGGCACAGCAAGUUCCCCAAAACCAAGACAUAUGUCUCAAGGCUGGGCAGGAAGUUGCCCCCAGGCCCUGAAGCCUGACCCCAGAGCCUCAGCCACCUUGCCUCUUUUCUACAUGAUGGUGUUACUUGCUUCUCUGGAGAGACUGAGCUGAGUGGGCAGUCUAGGAACCCCAUCUAGGUCUUUUUUUUUUUUCAUUUUUUUUUUAAAUUUUCACCUUUUUUUGA